rnacentral:rRNA from 1 species
UACGGAGGGUGCAAACGUUGCUCGGAAUCAUUGGGCGUAAAGAGCUCGGUAGGCGGCUUGUCGCGUCGGCUGUGAAAACCUGGGGCUCAACCCCGGGCCUGCAGCCGAUACGGGCAAGCUAGAAUUCGGUAGGGGAGACUGGAAUUCCUGGUGUAGCGGUGAAAUGCGCAGAUAUCAGGAGGAACACCGGUGGCGAAGGCGGAUCUCUGGGCCAUUACUGACGCUGAGGAGCGAAAGCAUGGGGAGCGAACAGG